GCCUUGAUAGUAUAAAAAUUACUUUGGUCUUGUAAACCAAAAAUGAAGAAAAUUCUUCUCAAGGCAUCAAGAAGGAAGGCUAAA